AUAAUCAUUCCUUUUAUUAGUUACAUUAUAGUACCUGUACAAUGUAACAAUGUGUUCAGUUGAUUGUAAUGUGUUAAUUAUAUGUACAGGUUAUUUCUUAUAUUAUACUUGAAGAAGCUGAAUAUAAACUAAGAGAUACUAUCAGUAGCAAAGAGAAGGAAGUAGUUGAAUUAAAACAAGUACUAGAGGAAGAACCACUUGGUAAAGAGUUGACUGUAUUGAGGUCUCAGUUUAAUGAGAUACAAAAAGAAAACAAAGAAUUGUCAGACAAAUUAUCAAAAAUGAAGAUUGAAUAUUUGAGAUCACUUACUAGUAAUACUGAUUCAGCUGCUAGCAGAGUGAUAAGACGAAUGUCUUUUGAAAUUGAUGACUGCAAAUUUCAUCUUGAAGCAAUGACAAGACCAGACUAUCAGCCAUUAGUAGAUAAUAAAACAAUAAUAGAGAAAUUGCAAGAAAGAAUAACAUUAAUGAAUAUGGAACUAAUUACUGAAAGAGAACACACUGAGAAGAUAAUAAAAGAUAUUAAAGAUCAUUUGAAAGAGAUUGAG